rnacentral:rRNA from 1 species
GACGAACGCUGGCGGCGUGCCUAAUACAUGCAAGUCGAACGCACAGUUUAUACCGUAGCUUGCUACACCAUAGACUGUGAGUUGCGAACGGGUGAGUAACGCGUAGGUAACCUGCCUGGUAGCGGGGGAUAACUAUUGGAAACGAUAGCUAAUACCUCAUAAUAUUAAUUAUUGCAUGAUAAUUAAUUGAAGUGUGCAAUUGCAUCACUACCAGAUGGACCUGCGUUGUAUUAGCUAGUAGGUGAGGUAACGGCUCACCUAGGCGACGAUACAUAGCCGACCUGGGGAGGUGGACCGCCAAACUGGGACUGAGACACGGCCCAGACCUCUUAGGGAGGCAGCAGUAGGGAAUCCUCGGGAAAGGACGAAAGUCUGACCGAGCAACGCCGGGGGAGGGAAGAAGGGUGUCGGGUCGUAAAGCUCUGUUGUAAGGGAAGAAAGGGUGUUAGAGUGGAAAGUUCACACUGUGACGGUACCUUACCAGAAAGGGACGGCUAACUACGUG